AUUGCCUCCCAGCUCUCAGCUCACUUGGAAGAAAAUACUGUGCAAACCAAGGCUUAGCCAGCUCACGGUGGAGUCAGCAAUACCAUUUCAGCGGUGCAGAGUGUGCCCGGUUUGGCUUAUGCUAGAGAUGCCCUAGCCCUAGUUCAGCACAGCCUGUCACGAAGACCUAACACUUUUUUAGCUAUUGUGUGCAUUUUGUUAUGAUAAAUAGCUCUCUCCUAUAGGCAGGUGAUACGAAAGCCCUUGCAGGCGCUUCCCAUAUCACCUACAUUUUCUUAAGUCCUUUUCCCUCUUUCUCCUUUCUGCCAGAACAAGAGGAGGAUUCCUAUUCCUAUCAAAAUGUCAUCGUUGGAGCGUCUCACAGCUCUGAUUUGAUCACAGAUGACACCGGAGACUAUGAGAACAGCACGGCGAUACGCAUAUGGAAACUCCAGGAAGUGGAAGAAAGCCAGGAUGAUGAGCCAGAUUAUGUGAACACUGACCCUGCAUCAGGCCUUGCACCUCUGUCAGAGCAAAGUACAUCACGUAAAAUCUGAAGAAGCCUUUUGCCAAGCUGUAAGAGCAUCUCCAGCAAGAAUGUAUAUAAAGGGGAGUCUUCGAUCCUGCAGUGAAACCUUUUCUCCAUGUCAUGCCCAAGAUCAUUUAGAAGGGAUGCAGCUGAAAGGAAGGAAUGCUCUGCUUGAAGUCUCACAAAACUCCAACUGCAAACAUGUAACUGGAGAAAGCACUCUGCCUAGCAGUGAAUUCUGGCUGACCAGCUCUGCAGUUACCAUGGGCAAGCCAAGAUCUCGUUAUCCUGUCUCAUUUCCCUGCACAUCCACUCGAUGGAGGACGGCUAGUCUGUGCAAAGCUUUCUCCUGUCAAGCGUGAAAUGAAUCUCCAAAUUGCUGAGCAGUAAUGCGGUCAACUACUUAAUUUGGCAGGCUGAGUCAUGCAAGGUGGUAUUAAAACAUAAGGAUUAUGGUUCUAAUUUAGUUCCUAUGCUCUUCUACAGAAGGUCAUUUUUACAACAGCCGUGGUUUUCUGGAGCUAAAUAAGACACCAAAUAUUCACAAAAGCUAAGGACUAAAGAGGAUUAAAUCCCCGCUUUAUCCACAGUUAGUAAUUCACAGUACUUAUCUACGGCAGUUCUUGCGUUUUGGUAUGUGUUUUAUAGUAAUACAAAGACAUUGCAACAACUGGGAAGGUACGAUUUGUUACUGUCAGCCUCAGAAAUUGCACCAGUCUUUCAGAAUUGCUGUAGGAACAUCAGACCUGGAACUUAACCCUUGUCUCGUGAGCCCUGAUGCACAGAUUUGUCACUGUUGUCCCACUUAUUUAUUAAAAGUGAAAAGCCUCCAAAGAAAAUCCAGUGUUUUAUUACAGUUUGAUA